rnacentral:snRNA from 1 species
GGGUGUGAGGGCGACCUGGCUGCGACGUCUGUCACCCCAUUGAUCGCCAGGGUAGAUUCGGCUGAUCUGGCUGGCUAGGCGGGUGCCCCCUUCCUCCCUCUACUCUCCAUGUGCAUCAUUCCCGAAGCUGCGCGCUCAGUCGAAGAGGACGACCACCUCCCCCCAAUAGAGAACUGUUCCUCUUAUGAGUAGGUAUACAAGUAGCUGCACUCCCGUGCUAGAACCUCCAAACAAGCCCUCAGAGGGUGCAAGCACAGAUCUGCUGAAGGAGAAAACUCCAAAUUUCAUCUCAAGGAAAAGUUCCUUUGAUCUAAAAU